rnacentral:rRNA from 1 species
UGGGGAAUAUUGCACAAUGGGCGAAAGCCUGAUGCAGCGACGCCGCGUGAGGGAUGACGGCCUUCGGGUUGUAAACCUCUUUCAGCAGGGAAGAAGCGAAAGUGACGGUACCUGCAGAAGAAGCGCCGGCUAACUACGUGCCAGCAGCCGCGGUAAUACGUAGGGCGCAAGCGUUGUCCGGAAUUAUUGGGCGUAAAGAGCUCGUAGGCGGUUAGUCGCGUCUGCUGUGAAAACUCGAGGCUCAACCUCGGGCUUGCAGUGGGUACGGGCUGACUAGAGUGCGGUAGGGGUGACUGGAAUUCCUGGUGUAGCGGUGGAAUGCGCAGAUAUCAGGAGGAACACCGAUGGCGAAGGCAGGUCACUGGGCCGCAACUGACGCUGAGGAGCGAAAGCAUGGGGAGCGAACAGGAUUAGAUACCCUGGUAGUCCAUGCCGUAAACGUUGGGCACUAGGUGUGGGGUCCAUUCCACGGAUUCCGUGCCGCAGCAAACGCAUUAAGUGCCCCGCCUGGGGAGUACGGCCGCAAGGCUAAAACUCAAAUGAAUUGACGGGGUC